rnacentral:rRNA from 1 species
GGACUACCAGGGUAUCUAAUCCUGUUUGCUCCCCACGCUUUCGCGCAUCAGCGUCAGUAUCGGUCCAGAGAGCCGCCUUCGCCACUGGUGUUCUUCCCAAUAUCUACGAAUUUCACCUCUACACUGGGAAUUCCACUCUCCUCUCCCGAACUCAAGCGACGGAGUAUCAAACGCAAUUCCCAGGUUGAGCCCGGGGCUUUCACGCCUGACUUCCGACACCGCCUACGCGCCCUUUACGCCCAGUAAUUCCGAACAACGCUAGCCCCCUUCGUAUUACCGCGGCUGCUGGCAC